rnacentral:rRNA from 1 species
CGGCGGACGGGUGAGUAAUGCCUAGGAAUCUGCCUGGUAGUGGGGGACAACGUUUCGAAAGGAACGCUAAUACCGCAUACGUCCUACGGGAGAAAGUGGGGGAUCUUCGGACCUCACGCUAUCAGAUGAGCCUAGGUCGGAUUAGCUAGUUGGUGAGGUAACGGCUCACCAAGGCGACGAUCCGUAACUGGUCUGAGAGGAUGAUCAGUCACACUGGAACUGAGACACGGUCCAG